rnacentral:rRNA from 1 species
UACGGAGGGUGCAAGCGUUAAUCGGAAUUACUGGGCGUAAAGCGCACGUAGGCGGCUUUGUAAGUUAGAGGUGAAAGCCCGGGGCUCAACCCCGGAAUUGCCUUUAAGACUACAUCGCUUGAAUCCAGGAGAGGUGAGUGGAAUUCCGAGUGUAGAGGUGAAAUUCGUAGAUAUUCGGAAGAACACCAGUGGCGAAGGCGGCUCACUGGACUGGUAUUGACGCUGAGGUGCGAAAGCGUGGGGAGCAAACAGG